AGGCAAACAUCAUGAUCCUAGAUGAUGAAUGGACAGCAAUAACUGAAGAUAGAUCCAGAACAGCUCAGUUUGAAAAUACUAUCCUAAUCACGGAGGAAGGUUAUGAGAUCCUGACAAAGCCUUAUGAAAAGAGAUGAAGCCUUAAUAAUCAAGCUCAUGGCUAAAGGAGUGAAGCUGUUUUGUGUCCAAGAUGUUACCACUUCAACUUUCUCUACCGUACUACUCGAGACAAAGAACAUCUCAACCACCAAUGAAGAAGUAACCCAUUCAAAAGGAGUAUAGAAUGUCUGAUAGUCAAGUCUCUGAACAAUGUAAUUCAACCAGUAAAUUGUAGUCUUGGCCGUAUGAUAAAAAGUGUAAAUAUGAACUGUAAUAAUUUUUUGCUGUAGGGAGACCUUGUUCUCAAAGAAAGGAAACGAUUUUUUGUUGUGGCUUCUGUCUGAUGUGAGGGUCCAAUUGAGGGUCCCCUCUUCUCAAAUCACAGGAAUUUUCGUAAUUGAGCCUUAUUAUUUGUAAUUUUCAGAAAUUUCGCAUUUUUGGACUGCCAUAAAAAAUGCCUGGCAAUGGAACCGCCAUAUACAAUAUAAUAAUAACUUAAUCCAAGCUGCUACAAAGUAUCAAAUAUCAAUCACGAGAAAAUGAGUAAUGAAACCGGGACGUUUUGACGUAUUUUCCACCUGCCUGAAUUUUUCUGGUCGAAAAUUAGUUUUUUUCUUCUUCUUAUUCUUCAUUGAAAGCGCAGAAAGUGCCCAAGUAGGAGGUAAAGGGACGAAAUUGAGGCAGAAAUGUUAAGGUACUCAAUGCCCAAGGUUCAUUAAGGGACAAUGGUUGUUACAACAAAGUAACAUGUAUGUAUGUCUACUUCAUAUUUUGCAGUAGCCAUCCUCUGAAUUAAGUUGUUAUUUGACUGUUCUCUUAGGUAGAUUAAUUUGUUUUUUAUACUGAAAUGUACCUUCUACAUGCACUAUCCUCAAGUAAAAAAAAAACUGCAGAAAACUCUGUCGCAAAAAAAAUCCUAGGAGACUGUGAAACUGCAGGAAUGCGUAUCUUAGUUUGCGACAUUGCAGACUUCC
rnacentral:lncRNA from 1 species